UCAAGAAAGAAAGGGCACAAGGUGGAUGCCUUGGCACAUGAAGGCGAAAAAGGACGUAAGUGAACGAAAACUAGGGUAAGCUCACAAAAAGCAUUGACCCCUAGGUCUCCGAAUGGGGCAACCCGGUUGUGGAAGACACAAUCAUUACUAAGUGAAUACAUAGCUUAGUAAGGCGACACCCUGCGAACUGAAACAUCUAAGUAGCAGGAGGAAAAGAAAGAAAAUUCGAUUUUCUAAGUAGCGGCGAGCGAAAGGAAAAGAGCCUAACUCAUUAGUGAUUUGGUAAUGUUAGUCAAAUUAUCUGAAAAGAUAAACCAAAGAAAGUGAAAGUCUUGUAGACGAAAGCAUUACUAAACGAGAGGGAAAGUAUCACCGGGCACGAGUAACCCGGUGUGAAGAUAGGGGGCCCAUCCCCUAAGGCUAAAUACUAACAUGUGACCGAUAGUGAACAAGUACCGUGAGGGAAAGGUGAAAAGAACCCCGAAAGGGGAGUGAAAUAGAACCUGAAACCUAGUGCCUACAAGCAGACAGAGCGUGAACGAACGUGAUGUCGUACCUUUUGUAGAAUGGGCCAGCGAGUUAUUCUAAAUUGCGAGGUUAAUGAUUUAAGAUCAGAAGCCGUAGCGAAAGCGAGUCUUAAUAGGGCGAAAGUAAGUUAGAAUAGACCCGAAACCGGGUGAUCUAUCCAUGGUCAGAGUGAAGUUGAAGUAAAAUUCAAUGGAGGCUCGAACCGGGUGCGGUUUAAAACGCAUCGGAUGAACUGUGGAUAGGGGCGAAAAACCAAACGAACCCGGAGAUAGCUGGUUCUCCUCGAAAUAGCUUUAGGGCUAGCCUCUGACCUAAGAUUUUAGGGGGUAGAGCACUGAAUGGUCUAGGGCGGGUUACCGUACCAAAACCUAUCAAACUCCGAAUACCAAAAAAUCAAGUCAGGGAGUCAGACUUAGGGGGAUAAGCUUCUAAGUCGAAAGGGAAACAGCCCAGACCGACAGCUAAGGUCCCAAAAUUUGAAUUAAGUGGAAAAGGAUGUGAAUCUACUAAGACAACCAGGACGUUGGCUUAGAAGCAGCCAUGCAUUUAAAGAAUGCGUAAUAGCUCACUGGUCAAGUGGGUUUGCGCCGAAAAUGAACGGGGCUAAAUUCAAUACCGAAGCUUCGGAUUAAUAGAGGGAUUAAGUUUACAAAUGAGACUAGGAAAUAUUUAACAAAAAACAAUAACAGAAGAGAUUAAAAAAGAAAUACAAAUUUCAGACGCAGACAUAAAAGAUAGGAUAUUAAAGAUAAGAAAAAAUAUUCAAAAAACACAAGUCUAAAGUCAAAGUAGGUAUCAUAAGAAAUUAUGAACUAACAAUCACUGGUUAAGAGUUAAAAAAAACUAGGACUCAUAGCUAAACUUAAUACCUCUAUUAGUGGUAGAGGAGCAUUGUAUUAGAGACGAAGCCAAGGCGAAAGCAAAAGUGGAUUUAAUACAAGAGAGAAUGCUGGCAUGAGUAGCGAGAAGGAGUGUGAGAAUCACUCCCGUCGAAACCCUAAGGACUCCUGAGCAAGGCUCGUCCCCUCAGGGAAAGUCGGGACCUAAGCCAAGGCCGAAAGGCGUAGGCGAUGGAUAACAGGUUUAUAUUCCUGUACCGCUUGAAGUCGUUAAGAGAGAUGUGAUGACGCAAAAGGAUAAUCAAAGCCAUCCGAUGGAUGAUGGUCUAAAGCCGUAGGAAGAAAAGUAGGCAAAUCCGCUUUUCACAAAUUCUGAAAGCCGAUAGGUAUCGAAAACAUAAGUAGAGAAGUUGAUGACUCCAUGUUGCCAAGAAAAGUCACUAUCCAGACCAAAGCGCCCGUACCAAAACCGACACAGGUAGGGAGGUAGAGAAUACCAAGACGCGCGGAAGAACCUUUGUUAAGGAACUCGGCAAAAUGUCCCCGUAACUUCGGGAGAAGGGGAGCCUGAGCGAUCAGGCCACAGAAACCAGGCCCAAGCGACUGUUUACCAAAAACACAAGUUUCUGCAAAAUCGCAAGAUGAAGUAUAGGAGCUGACACCUGCCCGGUGCUGGAAGGUUAAGGGGAAGGCUUAGAGCAAUCGAAGGCUAGAACUUAAGCCCCAGUAAACGGCGGCCGUAACUAUAACGGUCCUAAGGUAGCGAAAUUCCUUGUCGGGUAAGUUCCGACCCGCACGAAAGGUGUAACGAUUUGGGCACUGUCUCAACAAAGGAUCCGGUGAAAUUGUAGUAGUCGUGAAGAUGCGACUUACCCACGCUAGGACGGAAAGACCCCGUGGAGCUUUACUGUAGGCUGAUAUUGGAUUUUGAGAUUAAAUGUACAGGAUAGUUGGGAGACUAGGAGAUCUGGAUGCCAAUCUAGGAGGAGUCAUUGGUGGGAUACCAACCUUUUAAUAUCAAAGUUCUAACCAUAGCCCUUGAAUCAGGGCAUGGGACAUUGUCAGUUGGGCAGUUUGACUGGGGCGGUCGCCUCCUAAAAAGUAACGGAGGCGUUCAAAGGUUCGCUCAGAAUGGACGGAAACCAUUCGUAGAGUAUAAAGGCAAAAGCGAGCUUAACUGCGAGAGCUACAACUCAAGCAGAGUCGAAAGACGGACUUAGUGAUCCGGUGGUACCGCAUGGAAGGGCCAUCGCUCAACGGAUAAAAGCUACCCCGGGGAUAACAGGCUUAUCUCCCCCAAGAGUCCACAUCGACGGGGAGGUUUGGCACCUCGAUGUCGGCUCGUCUCAUCCUGGGGCUGGAGUAGGUCCCAAGGGUUGGGCUGUUCGCCCAUUAAAGAGGCACGCGAGCUGGGUUCAGAACGUCGUGAGACAGUUCGGUCCCUAUCCAGCGUGGGCGUAAGAAAUUUGAGAGGAGCUGUCCUUAGUACGAGAGGACCGGGAUGGACGCACCAAUGGUGUACGAGUUGUUAGGCCACUAGCAUGGCUCGGUAGCUAAGUGCGGAAUUGAUAAGUACUGAAAGCAUCUAAGUACGAAGCAACCCUCAAGAUAAGAUUUCUUAGAGUAGGUAAAGAAAAUACCUUAGAUAGGUCCAAGGUGUAAGUGCAGUAAUGUAUUAAGCUAAUGGAUACUAAACUUUAUAUCUUGACUGG
rnacentral:rRNA from 1 species